AGAGUUUGAUCAUGGCUCAGGACGAACGCUGGCGGCGUGCUUAACACAUGCAAGUCGAACGGAAAGGCCCUGCUUUUGUGGGGUGCUCGAGUGGCGAACGGGUGAGUACCACGUGAGUAACCUGCCCUUGACUUUGGGAUAACUUCAGGAAACUGGGGCUAAUACCGGAUAGGAGCUCCUGCUGCAUGGUGGGGGUUGGAAAGUUUCGGCGGUUGGGGAUGGACUCGCGGCUUAUCAGCUUGUUGGUGGGGUAGUGGCUUACCAAGGCUUUGACGGGUAGCCGGCCUGAGAGGGUGACCGGCCACAUUGGGACUGAGAUACGGCCCAGACUCCUACGGGAGGCAGCAGUGGGGAAUAUUGCACAAUGGGCGGAAGCCUGAUGCAGCAACGCCGCGUGCGGGAUGACGGCCUUCGGGUUGUAAACCGCUUUCGCCUGUGACGAAGCGUGAGUGACGGUAAUGGGUAAAGAAGCACCGGCUAACUACGUGCCAGCAGCCGCGGUAAU
rnacentral:rRNA from 1 species